rfam:Habropoda laboriosa contig20015, whole genome shotgun sequence.
AAAUCGGUCCUUUUCAGGACCAACAAAUAUUAAUCACGUGGGGAAC